GGUGGAGGUGACACUCACAGCCUGGGUCACUGUGAAUGACAGAGGUGACACCGAUGACAGAAGUCACAGUGGGUGUCCAAGCUGACCCCAAUGGCCAAAGUUUCAGUAGGGUUUGAGUCACACUGACAGUAGCUCAGUCUUGAAUGCUGAGGCUAAAGGGUGGUCCCGUGGAGGACUCAAAUGUCCCAGCUGGAAUAGACACAGCAGAGGUGAGGGCCAGCAGGAUAAAGUGGGGCCAGCAGGUGAAACCAUCACACGGAUCUGCUUGUGUGGCUUGGAGCAUCCUGCGUCACGUGUCUAGGAGUGGGGACACCUGCCUGCAGAGAGAGGGACCGUUGUCUCGACAGGUGGUUGGGCUGAUACUUCACAGAGGAAAGAUGGAGGUGGCAGAAAAAGCAAGCAGGGCAUUGGUGUGGACUAACACAGGCCUGCAGGAUGCUCUCAUCUAAGCAAGUGGCCUGGGCGCUGAUGUGAGCCCGGAUGGUGAAUUGGUAUCCUCAUCUGACUGUGUCAGUGCCCCCCUGUGACCUUGCAUGGCCCCCUAAGGAGCUGGGAACACUGGGGAUGAGAACCCACCCAAAGAGGACGAAUCUGAGGGAGAGGAAGUGGGCUGAAGGCAACUUCUCUAAAAUAUUAAAAGCCUGUGGCCGCCAGAGGCCGGCGGCGAGGCCUGGGCUCCGGCAGCAGGUCCUGACCGUUGAGCCCCCGGCAUAGCCCUGUUGAGCAAUAGGGACCUGCCCUGGUGUUGUCCUCACUGCCUGGCCCACUCUUCUUGGCACAGGCAGAGAGGUGGCGGGUCGUGCGGCUGUGUGGGGCAGGGAGGCACAUGUGGCCGUGUGUUGGGAGGGACGGGGUGGUAAGGGAAUAACGGUCACUGACGGGUUCUUGCUGUAUACUGGGCUCUAUUCUGAGCCCCAGACAGUGUGGGAGCCCCAUUCCUGUGAGUCUGUUCUGUCUCAGGGUUCAGAGGCAGAGCCUGAAGUUAAGAGAGGCAUAGUUAAUUGUCUGAGGUCACACAGCACCCAAGAAAGAUGGCGGAUGUAGGGAUAAGCCCAGAGUGCCAAGGCAGUACUGCCAGCAGUCCCCACACUCCUGCCCACAUCCCUGCUGCUCUCCUCUGCCUUUGGCCCACUGAGGCUCCUGACUCCUCUGGCCAGUGUCCUCCCUGGGCCGUCUGGAAGGGUCUCUACCUCUGGACUGAGUGAUGAGGUAGGAGACAGGAUGCAGCUAAGAGCAGGGAGGAAGCCAUCAUACGAUGCCUGUAGUCGUCUGAGGCAGCGCUCAGGGAGGCUCUCACAAGCCAGGCCCUCUGACCAUCUGAAAGGACAAGGUCUCUGCUCUGUGGCCCCGCUGGGGCUGGCUCAGCAGUGUCCCAGAGCUUUUUUUCUGUGGUGCCUGUUUCAGCUUCCUGAUCUGUAGGCUGACACUGCAAUGGGGCACAGGCUGUGGGGUAGGCAUGAUGCCUGUCUCCAGCACAGCCCCGUCCAUCCUGAAGUGGGACGGUCCUGGUCCAUGCCUACGGAAUGAAUUACACACCUGACGGUGGCUCUACAUGGAAGAGUGCCAGUCAUGAUGUUUGGAUCUUCAGGUCUGUUCUGGGGUCCACUCGUGGCUACUCUCCAGCUUCGGGGACUCCUGCGACUGAGUUUUCUCACUAGAGGUACAAGGGCCACCCUGUACCCUGGAUAUAGCAUGACUAUCUUAGUUCUUUACCUUCCUAGGAACACAGGGGCAAGCCCUGUACACAUAGAAUAACAGGAUAUUCUUAGGUCUUCGAAGCUGUCUGGGUACUGGUCACUCACAGAGGUGGGGUGUGCCGAGGACCGAAUUCCGCCUCAUUUAGGACCCUAUGCCCAUGUCACUUCAGGACACCGAGGCCCCCGCAUUCAGACUUGAGGCUGGAUGGCCUGUGGCCAGUAGCUUGGGGUCUUUAUUCUUUCUAUUUCUCUGGAGAGGCAAGGGGCUGGUUUCCCCAGUAUCUUCUGCAGAGGUCAGGUGCAGACUCUCCUCACAAACACAUUGCCUUGUGUCCUGGAGAGGUGGCCUGGCAUGUCACCCUAUCAUAACCCACCCCUGUCAUAUUCCUGGCUUGACAUCUGUUGCCUAGUGAACCAACUCAAUGCAGGAGGCAACCCACCACCCAAGUCCCCAGGAAGCAGCUGGCUUGAAGCUUGGGGGUCUGGAGCUGCAGGUUCAAAUUCCAUCUCUGCUCCUCGCUGCCACAGGACCUGUCUCAGUUUCCCUACCUGUACUGGCCUCUUGUGGGGACGAGCUGGUGUUUACACUCACAGAUGACCUGCCUCAAUGAGCAAAUGGUAUUAUUACCAUCCUGGUCCCAGACAGGGAAACUGAGGCCUGGAGGAAGGGAGUGAAUGUCACUGUGGCAGAGAGGGGCCAGCUCCGAUCCCCCUCGCCAGAGAAAUUGCUCCUAGCAAGCUGGUGACUGCCAAGAGCCUGGCAUAGCCUGGGCUUUUUACAUCUGCUGUUCCUUUCUCAGCCACCCCAGACUCCGUGGAGCGGGGCAGCUCGCACAGCCUGCCUGGCUCUUGAGUAAAGGAAUGGAAGUCUUUGUCCCACUGUGCACACUGCGGGGCUGGCUGGCUCCCCUCACACAGAUCUCACCACUGGAUAAGUCCUUUCUAUGUUCCUGGGCCGGCAGAGAGUGAAGCCCAGUUGUAUGGCGUUGGGGACAGGGCUGGACAACCCUGAUCCAUUCCCUGUUUGGACAGGAGGCCUGGGCCUUACUGAGGUAACUCAAGUCUCUCCUGUUCUCACUUUGAAAUGCAGGAUUUUUUUUUCUUCUUUUUAGAAAAGUUUCCCCCAAGGCUACCCCCAGGAAAAGCAUCGGACAUGUUGUGGCUUUGGGAUAUGAAUGGCUCAUGCGGGCCAUGCUUCUCUCUGACUCAUGGCUUUGAGAAACAUAUCUGGUCACCUCUGAGGAUAGAAAAAUCCAAAUGUAAUGGAUGAGUCUGAGAAACAAAACAAACAGAAAGAGCAUGAAGUUGAAGGCGAGCCACCUGUCUUGACAUGGGGCGAGGGGAUAUUCCUCUGCUCUUUGGGGACACCUUCAGCUCCCACAUUCACAGGGCCAUAAAGCCUGAAGCACUGUCCUCUCUGAAGUCAUCUUGGAGGAUUAAUGGAAAAAAUAUACAUUUUUCUAGAACCUUC